rfam:Puccinia sorghi strain RO10H11247 Scaffold_1098, whole genome shotgun sequence.
GUGUACUUAGCUCAAUGGUUAGGAUAUAACUCAUGAAUUCUGAGGUUGUGGGUUCAAUUCCCACAGUACACA